rnacentral:rRNA from 1 species
GGGUGCUCGAGUGGCGAACGGGUGAGUAACACGUGAGUAACCUGCCCUUGACUUUGGGAUAACUUCAGGAAACUGGGGCUAAUACCGGAUAGGAGCUCCUGCUGCAUGGUGGGGGUUGGAAAGUUUCGGCGGUUGGGGACGGACUCGCGGCUUAUCAGCUUGUUGGUGGGGUAGUGGCUUACCAAGGCUUUGACGGGUAGCCGGCCUGAGAGGGUGACCGGCCACAUUGGGACUGAGAUACGGCCCAG